CAUGACGUCAAAGCCCCGCCCCACAUUUGAGCGGUCUUUCGUCAGAUACGUUACUAUUACGUCCAUGGUCAACAUUUCAACUAGGUUGGCGGACUUUGUUGACUCAGACGGGGAAGAACGUGAAUAUGGAACCAUGAAGAUUUUGAUCCAGAGUCAGAACUGAGUUGUGCUCUGAGCUGCACAGAUGAAGAGGAUGAGUUCAGCAGUCUGUGGUCCACAGCCUCCUCCUUCAUAUUCCUCUUCAUAUCCUCUCUCUUCUAUAACAUGAUAUUCAGCCUGUUCAAGAUGAAGAAAUAAUAAAGAAGGAGAGAGAUGCACAGUGAGACAGACUGCAUGACUUCGUCUGUUUUUUGUCUUUUUGUGUAGUUUUAAAAAUGUGCAGAAUCGAUAAUAUACUGUAAAUAUUCCAAAUCAAAUGGUUCUCAUGUAAUGAUUGACUGAGUCAGUGAAAAUUGAUUUCUCUGCAACCUGUAAAACUCAAAAAUAUAACUGUAAUUCCUAAUUGUUUAAAUAAAUGAAUAAAUAUGUGCACUGUUGUUACAUUA